AGCCUCAGGCACUUCUGUGAGCAGCUGUGUCUUCCCAGACUGGAGACCCUGCCUCUGGGCUUCAAGGACAAGGUUCUUGGGACAGCUGUGCCCAGGGAAUGCAGGAGUACUGGAGAUGGUGCUUAAGCACUUUCUUUGCUGGACCCUUUGCGUGUCUCACCAGAUCGCCAUAACCAAGGAGGCCUGCACACUUCCGGGUACCCAACACAAUGCAGCCAGAAGAGCAUCUUUUCCUACCGUGGCCCUGGGGGAGGCCAAAGCUGCUCAAAUCACCGGCGAUAUGUAGGCCAGGGCUCCAAGCUGGGACAGAAACUCCAGGACAAGGUCACCGUCUCCUGACUGAAGAGGACAAGGCCAAGAAGCCCUGGUUCUGUGUCUACAUCGUGGCUAUGUAGUGAUCUCUGUAGAGAUCUACCACCUCUCUGAACCGUAGCCUUGACACUGGACAUUGGGCCUCGGGCUAGACAAUUCUGAAGUUCAGCUGUGAGAUUCCACAGGUGAAUGGAGAGACAAGAAGGUGGUCUCCCAAGGCUUGUCUGGAACCAAAUCCCUGGAAGGAAACCUUUCCCUGAGGAGAGAUCUUAAACCCCUCAGGGGUUGUUCUCCAUUCCAGGCCUCAGUUUUUCUGUCUGCAAAAUGGACUAAUAAAUACCUACUUGGCAGGGUUGUUACAUGUG
rnacentral:lncRNA from 1 species